GGUUGACCUCGGAUCAGGUAGGAAUACCCGCUGAACUUAAGCAUAUCAUAAAA
rnacentral:rRNA from 1 species